AUGGGUCGUCUGUUUGCCUCUUUUAGUAAAGACGGUGGAAAUCCAAAUCGUGCCACGGAGGAGACUGCCGGCAGUGCUCAUGAGUUGGAACAGGCAUGGGAUGCGUACUGCCGUUCAGAGGUAGUAACUAAAACAGAGCUUGAUCGUUACCUGGAAGAUCCCCCGGUCCAAGGCGCAAGAGGUUUCGACGUUCUGAGCUGGUGGAAGGCCAGCGUAUCGAAUUACCCGACACUGGCUAGGAUGGCAAGGGCUGCGCUGGCCAUUCCCGCGUGCCGCAAGCUAUCUCCUGAACAAAUGUCCCUGAUUGGGAACAAGGUUCGUGGCUAUUCCAAAUAG
rnacentral:rRNA from 1 species